rnacentral:rRNA from 1 species
UACGUAGGUGGCAAGCGUUGUCCGGAUUUAUUGGGUUUAAAGGGUGCGUAGGCGGCGAUCUAAGUCAGUGGUGAAAUAUCCCGGCUUAACCGGGAGGGUGGCAUUGAUACUGGGUUGCUUGAGUAAAGUUGAGGUAGGCGGAAUUGACGGUGUAGCGGUGAAAUGCUUAGAUAUCGGGAGGAACACCAGUGGCGAAGGCGGCUUCCUGGCCUGUUCUUGACGCUGAGGCGCGAAAGCUAGGGGAGCAAACGGG